GAAAUUUGAGGAUGAGAAAUUCAU
rnacentral:piRNA from 1 species